CUGUGAGCAUUCUUAGAGUCAUGAAUCAUGACGACAAAUUUAAUUCUGAGAUCAACAUCAUAAAGUAUCCAGUGACAGCUAUAAGAAGUAGUCUUCUUUUAUAAGUCGGUAAAUGUAAAUAAACAUUGACUAGGAAGUCAUUUUCAAUCAAAAGGCAGCUCACAAAGAAGACUACAUAUAUGUAUGUAUGUAUAUAUGUAAGAAGAAAGUGUGACAGAAUAAUGACCAUGGAGGUGAGGGAUAAGAUGAAAUGAGCAGAAGCAGGCAGAAUACAUAGAUAAGCGAACGGAACAUCAAUCUCUUUAUAACCUCUACUGUCUAUACUUCAAGAAUGGAUAUCCUGCAAGUCGGCUUCGUAGAGUCUCCCUUGAAAGUGGACCUCGUGAUCUAGCCUUUAUGUCCGUGGAUUGACACUGUGAUGGAUUCCCCCCAAGUUCAUUUAGAUAUUCUCUCUUAUUCAUAAAUGUCACGGUCAGCUCUGUUCUUAUAGAUACCAGAAUGGAUACCCCAAGAAUGGAUACCCCUAAGCUGAUGUAUAUACACCCUUCCUCGGUUGUGAGAUUCCUGCUCUGGUGGUUGUAGUCAUAAGAUAUACAUCGUUGCGUACACCUUGGUUGUGGGCACGCACACUACUGUUGAAUUACCACCUUGUCCAUGUGGAUGGAUGCCCUCAAUGGGAUUGGCACUUUCUCCAUUGCUCC
ensembl:processed_transcript Rian RNA imprinted and accumulated in nucleus